rnacentral:miRNA from 1 species
GGCUGGGUCCGCUCUUCUGUUC